CGCGCGUUCAAGAUGUGUUGUUAUACGUUGGGAUAGAAUAAGAGGUUAAGGGGAAGGGGAAGGAAAGAGGAAUGAGAAAGCAUGGAAGAAGGAACGCGUUCGUACACAUGAUGCCGCUAACCGACAACGACAACUACAAAGACGAUCUAGUGACGACAAUGUACGACGACAAUGACGAGAACGAUGACGACUACGACGACGACGACGACGACGAUAAUAACGUAACAGAUAUUUUCACGAAAUCAAAUUCUCGUGAUAUUCAGUGAUAUUAAUUUUUAUUUUAUAUUCGUUCGAUAGAAACGUAAUUAACGUUGAGCAUCAGUGUUAAAUAUAUACGUUCGUUUAAAUAAACGACAAAAAUCCAUAUGGUUCAAGUUUAAGAUUUAUAAAAAGAGGUUAACUUUAAUUCUCAUCCAUAUCAAAAGAUCUACGUGUACGACGUGUCUUAAAGUACGACGCAUAUGCUUACAAGUGUAUUAUCGCCGUUGACGUUUUCAAAAAAAAAAAACGAGGUUAAAGGUCGAAUAAGUUGUAGAAAGUCUAAGAGAGAAAACGAGGAGAUAGAAAAUUUGGAACAAAGCUUGAACAUUUGAAUAAACUGCAAUCGUUGGAUAAUACUCUUGUUAUCAAUUAUCAUCGAG